rnacentral:lncRNA from 1 species
CCCCGUGUCAGAUUUGCUCUAAAUGCUUUGGUUUUUGAGUUAUAAGCCAAAAACUGCAUUUUACCCCUAUGUUCUAUUUUUAGCCAUGGCGGCCAUCUUGGUUGGUAGGCGGGGUCACGCCACACAUUUUUAAAACUAGAUACCCCAAUGAUGAUUGUGGCCAAGUUUGGUUUAAUUUGGCCCAGCAGUUUCAGAGGAGAAGAUUUUUGUAAAAGUUAACGACGACGGACGACGGACGACGGACGACG